rnacentral:rRNA from 1 species
CACGGGGGGAGCAAGCGUUGUUCGGAAUUACUGGGCGUAAAGGGCGUGUAGGCGGUCUGGUAAGUGGAAUGUGAAAUGCCCCGGCUCACCCGGGGAUCUGCAUCCCAUACUGCUAGGCUUGAGUUCGGGAGAGGAUGAGGGAAUUCCAGGUGUAGCGGUGAAAUGCGUAGAUAUCUGGAGGAACACCGGUGGCGAAGGCGCUCAUCUGGCCCGAUACUGACGCUGAGGCGCGAAAGCUAGGGGAGCAAACGGG